GGGGAUUUAGCUCAGUGGUAGAGCGCUUGCCUAGCAAGCACAAGGCCCUGGGUUCAGGCCCCAGCCCCA
rnacentral:tRNA from 1 species